rnacentral:rRNA from 1 species
GACGAACGCUGGCGGCGUGCUUAACACAUGCAAGUCGAACGGGCGUAGCAAUACGUCAGUGGCAGACGGGUGAGUAACACGUGGGAACGUGCCCUUUGGUUCGGAAUAACUCAGGGAAACUUGAGCUAAUACCGGAUAAGCCCUUACGGGGAAAGAUUUAUCGCCGAUGGAUCGGCCCGCGUCUGAUUAGCUAGUUGGUGAGGUAACGGCUCACCAAGGCGACGAUCAGGAGCUGGUCUGAGAGGAUGAUCAGCCACACUGGGACUGAGACACGGACCAGACUCCUACGGGAGGCAGCAGUGGGGAAUAUUGGACAAUGGGCGCAAGCCUGAUCCAGCCAUGCCGCGUGAGUGAUGAAGGCCCUAGGGUUGUAAAGCUCUUUUGGCAGGGACGAUAAUGACGGUACCUGCAGAAUAAGCCCCGGCUAACUUCGUGCCAGCCGCCGCCGUAAAAC